GACGAACGCUGGCGGCGUGCUUAACACAUGCAAGUCGAGCGGAAAGGCCCUUCGGGGUACUCGGGCGGCGAACGGGUGAGUAACACGUGAGUAACCUGCCCUAGGCUUUGGGAUAACCCCGGGAAACCGGGGCUAAUACCGGAUAUGACCUGGUGCCGCAUGGUGUUGGGUGGAAAGUUUUUUCGGCCUGGGAUGGGCUCGCGGCCUAUCAGCUUGUUGGUGGGGUGAUGGCCUACCAAGGCGAUGACGGGUAGCCGGCCUGAGAGGGCGACCGGCCACACUGGGACUGAGACACGGCCCAGACUCCUACGGGAGGCAGCAGUGGGGAAUAUUGCACAAUGGGCGGAAGCCUGAUGCAGCGACGCCGUGUGAGGGAUGAAGGCCUUCGGGUUGUAAACCUCUUUCAGCAGGGACGAAGCGUGAGUGACGGUACCUGCAGAAGAAGCGCCGGCCAACUACGUG
rnacentral:rRNA from 1 species